rnacentral:lncRNA from 1 species
GAGUUCUAUGAGAUAAACCAGACAGAGAACCUGCCAUGAAAAUCAUAUAGUCUAGAAAAUACAUGUUCAUAUAAAGAGCUGCACGCUAUUGUUUUAGCAACUAAGGGCAACCCUAGACUAAGUAUUUAACAUUACCUUGUGUAUUCCUCUUACCUUCUCAAUGAGAUAGGUGUUACUGUUUACCCAUUUCACAGAAAAGAAAACUGAGACUCAGAAAGAUUUGCUCGAAGUCCUCACAAAUAAUCAAGCUAUGACUGAGGCACUUGUUUCCCACAACCUGGCUGUGCUGUCUCCUUUCUAGCAAACAAACGCUCACAAGAAUAUCCCCCAGAUCUACAGAAAACUUGGCCCAUCGUAACUGCACUAUUGCCUGUGUUCACAGAUUGAUCCAUGGACCAAGCGUCAGGUUUAAUUUAUGAAAAAUACCAAAAAAAAAAGGAAGAUGCUGGCUCUGCCUGCUUUUCUAGCCUGCCUGUGGGAACGGGGCCCGGGUGGACAGAAUUAGCUUGAUUUAUGUCUCAUUUCCCAGGAUCGAUAUUUGGCAGUCUCUUCCUGUCUUUAUGUGGCUGGUUGGGAAUUUAAAACGAACGUGUGUGAUGCAGUGAAUCCAACAGCAGAACCUGGCAUGCCUUUGGAGCUGACCUCCUUCUGGAAUAAGUUGACAUCAUGAUCAGGGGCCCAGGAAGCAAGUGUCCAAGUGUGUGUUUAAAGACUGAUUUUGAUCAGGGAAGAAGCUCCAACUUUUGAAUCUCAGCUUUGGGGAUCCUCUAAGGCCAAACUAACAGUGAUUCAUUCCACUGUGCAGACAUUGGAGAGUGUCUCAAGGUCAGACCAUCCCCUGGAGAGGACAGCAGCCUGACAAGGUCAUGACCAGGAGAUAUUUACCUUGUGAUUCAGUUAUCACAGGCCUCACAUGGGCUCAGACACUGCCUGUUGCAGCGGUGCUGGGAGGCUGACAUCAGCCAGUAAAGCAAAUGGAUGAGGUGGGAUGUAAAGUGCUGUUAUUUUCUGAAUGCCUGCUGUACCCUCAGCCCUUUGAAACUUUGCUUCUGACCUUCACAGCGCAUCUGUCCUCAUGACAUUCACUUUCCAAAUGAGGAAACUGAGGCAUGAGAGGUGAAGUGAGCUGCAUGAGCUCCAGCAGGAGUAGGUGGUGGAGCUGGGGUUUUUAACUCAGGUUGAUCUGGCUCCCAAGUCAAUGCCAAGUGAUUCACUGACAACAAGAAAUGGAAAUGUCCAGCAGAUGAGCACCUCGUAGCUCCCUGCGAGGAAGAAAUACAGCUGGAGGUUGCAAACCAUGUACGCUAGUUUGUACUAAUCUUCCUUGUAGUGUUGUUUUGUUUGGCCUGAAAAGUAUUUCUUUAAAAAUGUUUGAAUUUAUUACCAACUCUUAAAAAUAGGGAGUUUUCAUAUAGAAUGCAGAUUUCUGGCUUCUCCUGGGAAACCAGAAGAUCUGGAUCUGGGAAUGGUCAGUUGGAGUGAAGGAUGACUGCCCUUUCUAGAAGGAACAGGAACCCUCUGGAGGGCCACAGCCCCAUCCAGCUGGAGGCCUGCUCUUUGAAGAAUUAGAUGAUGCCACAGCUGCAGAGGGAGGCUGGACCCAGCCCGGGAGGUUCUUGGACCCCCGUGUGGAAGGGUACCAACCCGUCAGAACUUCCUCAGUAUACUAGUUUGCUAGGGCUGCUGUAACCAAGUAUCACACUCUGGGUAGCUUAAACAACAGAAAUUUAUUUCCUCACUUUUAGAGGCUAAAAGACCAAGGUCAAGGUGUCAGCAGAGCUGGUGUCUUCUGAGGCCUCUGCUUGGCUUGCAGAUGGCUGUUCUGCUCCCUAUGUUUUCAUUCUUCAGUGCAUCUCUGUCCUAAUCUCCCCUUCUUACAACUAUACCAGCCAUAUUGGAUUAGGACCCACACUAAUAACCUCAUUUUAACUUGAUGACCUCAUUAAAGACCAAAUAUAGUCAUAUACUGAGGUACUUGGGGUUAGGACUUCAAUAUGUGAUUUUGGGAGGGGCCACAAUUCAGUUCAUAAUGAUCAGAUAUUGAUUAUCUCCCCAUAGGGACAGACCCAGUUUUAUAGUCUGAAGCUUAUACAAUGUUGGAAGGCUUCUUGAUAAAGAAUAUAUAUAUAUACAUACAUAUCACAUACAUGUAUCCAUUCUCCCCCAAACUCCCCUCUCAUCCAGGCUGCCCCA